CCUCAGAGGGAGAUGCUGAUCCACAUUUGCAGGUCCUUCGAUGUUGUUUAAGAGUGGGUGAAGAUGGUGGAAACUACACUUGUGUUUCUGAAUCAGAGAGGUAGGUUGUUCUAAUGGAAAUACACUCCGGUUUUAGUUACUGUGUUUAAUAGAGAACUUGAUUCUGUUUUGGGUUUUUGUAAA